AAUAGAUACCCGGGUAGUCCACGCCCUAAACGAUGUCAACUGGUUGUCGGGGAAGCAAUUCCUUGGUAACGAAGCUAACGCGUGAAGUUGACCGCCUGGGGAGUACGGCCGCAAGAUUAAAACUCAAAGGAAUUGACGGGGACCCGCACAAGCGGUGGAUUAUGUGGAUUAAUUCGAUGCAACGCGAAAAACCUUACCUACCCUUGACAUGUACGGAACUUGGCAGAGAUGCCUUGGUGCCCGAAAGGGAGCCGUAACACAGGUGCUGCAUGGCUGUCGUCAGCUCGUGUCGUGAGAUGUUGGGUUAAGUCCCGCAACGAGCGCAACCCUUGUCAUUAGUUGCUACAUUCAGUUGGGCACUCUAAUGAGACUGCCGGUGACAAACCGGAGGAAGGUGGGGAUGACGUCAAGUCCUCAUGGCCCUUAUGGGUAGGGCUUCACACGUAAUACAAUGGCCGGUACAGAGGGCUGCCAACCCGCGAGGGGAGCUAAUCCCAGAAAGCCGGUCGUAGUCCGGAUUGUUCUCUGCAACUCGAGAGCA
rnacentral:rRNA from 1 species